UACGAAGGGGGCUAGCGUUGUUCGGAAUUACUGGGCGUAAAGCGCGCGCAGGCGGCUAUCCAAGUCAGUGGUGAAAUCUGGAGCUCAACUCCAGAACUGCCUUCGAUACUGGAGAGCUCGAGUCCGGGAGAGGUGAGUGGAACUGCGAGUGUAGAGGUGAAAUUCGUAGAUAUUCGCAAGAACACCAGUGGCGAAGGCGGCUCACUGGCCCGGUACUGACGCUGAGGUGCGAAAGCGUGGGGAGCAAACAGG
rnacentral:rRNA from 1 species